UACGUAGGGUGCAAGCGUUGUCCGGAAUUAUUGGGCGUAAAGAGCUCGUAGGCGGUUUGUCGCGUCGAAUGUGAAAACCCGGGGCUCAACCCCGGGCCUGCAUUCGAUACGGGCAGACUAGAGUUCGGUAGGGGGAGUCUGGAAUUCCUGGUGUAGCGGUGAAAUGCGCAGAUAUCAGGAGGAACACCGGUGGCGAAGGCGGGUCUCUGGGCCGAUACUGACGCUGAGGAGCGAAAGCGUGGGGAGCGAACAGG
rnacentral:rRNA from 1 species